rnacentral:rRNA from 1 species
ACAGUUCGGUCCCUAUCUGCCGUGGGCGCUGGAGAACUGAGGGGGGCUGCUCCUAGUACGAGAGGACCGGAGUGGACGCAUCACUGGUGUUCGGGUUGUCAUGCCAAUGGCACUGCCCGGUAGCUAAAUGCGGAAGAGAUAAGUGCUGAAAGCAUCUAAGCACGAAACUUGCCCCGAGAUGAGUUCUCCCUGAGACUUUAAGUCUCCUGAAGGAACGUUGAAGACGACGACGUUGAUAGGCCGGGUGUGUAAGCGCAGCGAUGCGUUGAGCUAACCGGUACUAAUGAACCGUGAGGCUUAACCUUACAACGCCGAAG